UAACAUGGGUCCCCACUGGUGGUACAGCAUCAAGUUUGGAAGCAGCUGGAGUGAAUGUGAGAAAAGUUGAACAGCUUACACAUUUUCCUGAAAUGGUCUGGCAGCACCGCCGCGUCGACGACGAAGGUGGUGACCGCGGCGGCGAGCGGCGCGAGUUGGUGGCUACGGGAUUGGACGGCACGGCUCAUAUAUGUGCUUCUGACUAAUCCAGCUUCAUUUGGUCUAGCUGGGCAUUACUUUGAGUUCAUAUAUGUGCUUGUCACUCCAUAGGAGCGCAUGAUAGACUACUAAAUGGACAAGUAUCUGCAACGUUCAGCGUCAAAGAUGAUGCUUACCAGAUGUUCUACAGCAGCCCCAUCCAUAUCAUCGCCAUGAAGUUAGAUUUUGGCCUUCAUUCGUCAAAAGUUUGUGUACAAGGAAUUCCAGGAGAAGAAUCUUUAAGUAAAUAAUUUAUAUAGAUCAGGAUCUUAUGUUUUCGAGGUGGCUGCUGCUGUGACCAAAGAUCAGCCUGGAGAUGUGCACCAGUCUUUAGUUGAUGUUGCCACCAUGUUUUGGUGCCUGUGUAUUUGAUUGUAUGUACACAUGUUAUACUGUAGAACUUGAUGCUCAUCGGCUCUUGCGGCAUAUUGUACACCUGUAGAG